CACUCGGAGCAGAGUGACUCCUCCACCCCCAGCCCCCCCCCGAGCUCCCCGAGCCCCCUGAGCAUCCUUCUACGCCUUGACUGACAACAGCGCCAGCCCACGGCCGACUGAGGUCCCAAUGUCAAGCUCUAGGCUGAAACUGCUUUAGGGGAGGGCAUCUGAGGGUUAUUUCGCUGCGGGACCUGUGGUUUUCCUUCUGCGUAACGCCGUGUGUGAGUUGCGUGCACGUACGAUCUACAGUUGCAGAGAACAUAACGACAACUCUUUUCUGUUCUUUUCCAUUUCCUAGAACUUGUUCGGACUCCGUUCUCCUGCCUGGGUUUUGAGGUAGGAAGCUCAUUCCCAAAUCAGCAGUGUCCAGUACAAACAAACGAGGAGAGGUUCAACUGAAAACAGUCUAGUGUUCUCUUUAAGAGCUGCGUGUGCUAGCAUACGCGUCCUAUCCGAGGCUGAACAUGCUCAGGGGCUAGUGAGGAUGGAGCCUUCCCUCCUCCUCAGCUAGGAGACCCCUUCUUUGCCGGGUAACACCAGUUUUAAGAAAGGGAAGCAUCACAGCGAUGCUACAGACAACUUGGAAGAACAGGACCGCACCCGAUGUAAUGCUAGCCGAAAAGGGAAAUGCUUGUGUUAUGCUUGCUUGGAGAUUUUAUUUCAUAUACUACAGUUUCUAAUGGGACAGUUAUCAUAUCCUCCUCCUCCCUGAGCUCUGCCUAAGGUGUGGCUAUGGGACUCUGCGUCUGCUCCUCAGUUGCCGGAUGAAGUCUCUCUGGGCUCUUUGAAGACAACUCUGCUAGGCUCCGGGCCCAGCACACUUCGCAGGCAGGACAGACUGCAGAUUCCCUCUCUAUUUAGUCUUGCAUGUGCUGGACCUCAGUCUGUAGACCAGCCUGGUUGUGAAAUCACUGAGACCAUCCAAGUUCUGGGAUGAAAGCCUACAUCUGUCUGCACAUUUAGAGACAUGGGCCCAGAAGUGCUUCAAGAACAUCUGAAAAAGUCUACAUCUACUCCAGCUCAUAGCACUGACCUAAGACAACAUCACAGUUUUAUGACCUCUGUGGGCAGAGCAUCUGAAACGCAUUGCAAGUGUUCUUG